rnacentral:tRNA from 3 species
GCCGGGAUGGCGGAAUUGGUAGACGCAGCGGAUUCAAAAUCCGCCGGUGGAAACACUGUGGGGGUUCGAUUCCCCCUCCCGGCACCA